GUACCUAUGGUGUAAUGAUUAUCAUGUCCGCCUAACACGCGAUUGGUCCUAGGCUCUAAUCCCGGUAGGUACA